GACUAACGUUGGCGGCGUGCCUAAUACAUGCAAGUCGAACGCUUUGGUAGCAAUAUCAGAGAGUGGCGAACGGGUGAGUAACACGUGGAUGAUCUACCUCUAAGAUUGAGAUAACCCAUCGAAAGGUGGGCUAAUACCGAAUAUGACUACGAUCCGUAUCCGGAAUGUAGUAAAAGGCGGGGACCGCAAGGCCUGCCACUUAGAGAUGAGUCUGCGGCUGAUUAGCUAGUUGGCGGGGUAAUGGCCCACCAAGGCAACGAUCAGUAGCCGGCCUGAGAGGGUGUACGGCCACACUGGAACUGAGACACGGUCCAGACUCCUACGGGAGGCAGCAGGUAGGGUAAUUUUCCGCAAUGGGCGAAAGCCUGAC
rnacentral:rRNA from 1 species